rnacentral:rRNA from 1 species
GAUGAACGCUAGCGGCAGGCCUAACACAUGCAAGUCGAGGGGUAACUAGAGUGAUAGCAAUAUUACUUUGGCUAGACCGGCGCACGGGUGCGUAACACGUAUGCAACCUACCUUAUACUGGGGAAUAACUUCGAGAAAUCGGCGCUAAUACCCCAUAACAUUGCGAAGAGGCAUCUCUUUGCAAUUAAAGCUCCGGCGGUAUAAGAUGGGCAUGCGUCCAAUUAGCUAGUUGGUGAGGUAACGGCUCACCAAGGCUACGAUUGGUAGGGGUUCUGAGAGGAUGAGCACCCACACUGGUACUUGGACACCGACCAGACUCCUACGGGAGGCAGCAGUGAGGAAUAUUGCGCAAUGGACGAAAGUCUGACGCAGCCAUGCCGCGUGCAGGAUGACGGCCCUAUGGGUUGUAAACUGCUUUUAUACGGGAAUAAACCCUUCUACGUGUAGGAGGCUGAAGGUACCGUAAGAAUAAGCACCGGCUAACUCCGUGCCAGCCGCCGCAGUAA